ACAAGGUCUGAUGGCUUUAUAAGGCUAAGUUUCCUAGCACAAGUUCUCUUUGCCUGCUGCAAUCCAUGUAAGAUGUGACUUGUUCCUCCUUGCCUUCUGCCAUGAUUGUGAGGCCUCCACAGCCAUGCGGAACUGUUGAAAUACACACUACCUGAAGCUGGAUAACUCAUGAACUCUGUUGACAAUUAUAUUCUUUGUCUUUUUAAUUAACUCAUUUGGAGUUGGUGUCCUGAGGACCUAAGCCUAAGAAUCUUCAAGAUGGAAGAGUAGAGUGAACAAUGAAUGAGCCAGAGGGCUCUUGUCCUCUGUGUGCAGCUCUGGGCAGCCAGCAGGUGGAUAUGGGACUUGGCCUGCUGGAGGGGCCCUGGCAAGAGGAGCUGGCAGGAGCAGAUGGCAAAGAUGCACAUGAAAUUUGGUGCCGUGACUCGGAUUGGGGGACCUCCCUUGGGAGAUCAAUCCCCUGUACUCCUGUUCUUUGCUCCGUGAGAAAGAUCCACCUAUGACCCUCAGGUCCUCAGACC
rnacentral:lncRNA from 1 species